UCUCGAUAGCGUAAUAGUUAACUCAAAUUUGUAUGGAGUUGGAACGUUUGCCUACGUUUACCGCUGUUCCAGCUGCAUACAAAUUUGAGUUAGCUCUUACGCUAUCGA
rnacentral:pre_miRNA from 9 species